UUUCUUGAUUAGUGGCGCACGGGUGAGUAAUGCAUAGAUAAUGUGCCCCUUAGUUCGGGAUAGCCACUGGAAACGGUGAUUAAUACCGGAUACUCCUUCUUGUUAUAAGACAAGUCGGGAAAGUUUUUCGCUAAGGGAUCAGUCUAUGUUCCAUCAGCUUGUUGGUGAGGUAAUGGCUCACCAAGGCUAUGACGGAUAUCUGGUUUGAGAGGAUGAUCAGACACACUGGAACUGAGACACGGUCCAGACUCCUACGGGAGGCAGCAGUGAGGAAUAUUGCACAAUGGAGGAAACUCUGAUGCAGCAACGCCGCGUGGAGGAUGACGCAUUUCGGUGUGUAAACUCCUUUUAUUAGGGAAGAUAAUGACGGUACCUAAUGAAUAAGCACCGGCUAACUCCGUGCCAGCAGCCGCGGUAAUACGGAGGGUGCAAGCGUUACUCGGAAUCACUGGGCGUAAAGGGUGCGUAGGCUGGCUUUUAAGUCAGAUGUGAAAUCCAAUGGCUUAACCAUUGAACUGCAUUUGAAACUGAAAGCCUAGAGUUCAGAAGGGGCAGAUGGAAUUAGUGGUGUAGGGGUAAAAUCCGUAGAUAUCACUAGGAAUA
rnacentral:rRNA from 1 species